rnacentral:tRNA from 1 species
GCAUGGGUAGCUCAGUGGUAGAAUUCUUGCCUGCCACGCGGGAGGCCCAGGUUCAAUUCCCAGCCCAUGCA